GUCUGGUGAGGGUGCGAGCCGUGAGGGGUUCUCGUCUGUAGUGGACGAGGGCCGGGUGCGCGGCAACGAACAAGCCAGACACACUAUUGGGUCCUGAGGCAACACUCAGGCUUGGCCAGAGCUGUUGUCCCACCAUCUUGGUGGUGGGGUGUGGUGUUUGAGAAUUGAAUAGUGGUUGCGAGCAUACGGAGGUACCUCCUUUCUAACGGACACUUGGAUAGUGAUUGCAAGCAACAUACCUCUCGUCGUGGGAAACCAGCACCGGUUUGUGGUACCGAUGCCGAGGGUCCAACUGGUGUGGCUGACUUGUUGGUUGUCCCUCACCCUCCCCUCACCCCCGAAAGAAAAGGUCCCCUCUCUUUGUUAAGUCCUCUUUUUGGGAAGAUAUUUGUGGUGCCGACUUACAAAGGGUGACACCCCUGGGGGUUCAAAAUUUUUUUAUUUUUUUUUCCCUAAAGGACAGGAGGUAAAA
rnacentral:misc_RNA from 1 species